rnacentral:rRNA from 1 species
AGUAUGUGAAUUGCAGAAUUCAGUGAAUCAUCGAAUCUUUGAACGCACCUUGCGCCCCUUGGUAUUCCGAGGGGCACACCUGUUUGAGUGUCGUGAAAUUCUCAACUU